rnacentral:rRNA from 1 species
UACGUAGGGUGCAAGCGUUGUCCGGAAUUAUUGGGCGUAAAGAGCUCGUAGGCGGUCUGUCGCGUCGGCUGUGAAAUCCCGAGGCUCAACCUCGGGUCUGCAGUCGAUACGGGCAAACUAGAGUAUUGCAGGGGAGACUGGAAUUCCUGGUGUAGCGGUGAAAUGCGCAGAUAUCAGGAGGAACACCGAUGGCGAAGGCAGGUCUCUGGGCCGAUACUGACGCUGAGGAGCGAAAGCGUGGGGGAGCGAACAGG